CGGCCGUCGACUAUACCUGUAAAGGUUACUUUACUGGGCAUGUUGACCCUUUUCCAUCAAUACAUACUGUUGACGAGGUUUACGUACCGUUGUAUAUAGAAGGUGCUCACUGGUUUUUAGGCGUUUUCAACCUGCUCAAUUACACGCUAACGAUAUACGACAGCCUUUUAAAUGCUUUCGAAAAGGAAAGAACGGAUGUGGUGUGUCAUAUAAAUUUUGUGUUUAACCACUGGCU